rnacentral:rRNA from 1 species
CCUACGGGUGGCAGCAGUGGGGAAUAUUGCACAAUGGGGGGACCCCUGAUGCAGCGACGCCGCGUGGGUGAAGAAGUAUUUCGGUAUGUAAAGCUCUAUCAGCAGGGAAGAAAAUGACGGUACCUGACUAAGAAGCCCCGGCUAACUACGUGCCAGCAGCCGCGGUAAUACGUAGGGGGCAAGCGUUAUCCGGAUUUACUGGGUGUAACGGGAGCGCAGACGGCUGUGCAAGUAUGGAGUGAAAGGAGGGGGCCCAACCCCCGGACUGCUCUGGAAACUGUAAAGCUGGAGUGCAGGAGAGGUAAGCGGAAUUCCUAGUGUAGCGGUGAAAUGCGUAGAUAUUAGGAGGAACACCAGUGGCGAAGGCGGCUUACUGGACUGCAACUGACGUUGAGGCUCGAAAGCGUGGGGAGCAAACAGGAUUAGAUACCCCAGUAGUC